rnacentral:rRNA from 1 species
AGAGUUUGAUCAUGGCUCAGAUUGAACGCUGGCGGCAGGCCUAACACAUGCAAGUCGAGCGGUAACAGUCCUUCGGGAGCUGACGAGCGGCGGACGGGUGAGUAACGCGUAGAAAACUGCCCGGUAGUGGGGGAUAGCCCAGAGAAAUUUGGAUUAAUACCGCAUAAGCUCUAAGGAGGAAAGCGGGCUUCGGCUCGCGCUAUCGGAUGUGUCUGCGUGAGAUUAGCUAGUUGGUGAGGUAAUGGCUCACCAAGGCGACGAUCUCUAGCUGGUCUGAGAGGAUGAUCAGCCACACUGGGACUGAGACACGGCCCAGACUCCUACGGGAGGCAGCAGUGGGGAAUCUUAGACAAUGGGCGCAAGCCUGAUCUAGCCAUGCCGCGUGAGUGAUGAAGGCCUUAGGGUCGUAAAGCUCUUUCG